rnacentral:rRNA from 1 species
UAUCCCUACGGGAGGCAGCAGUGGGGGAUAUUGCACAAUGGGGGGAACCCUGAUCCAGCGACGCCGCGUGAGUGAAGAAGUAUUUCGGUAUGUAAAGCUCUAUCAGCAGGGAAGAAAGAAAUGACGGUACCUGACUAAGAAGCCCCGGCUAACUACGUGCCAGCAGCCGCGGUAAUACGUAGGGGGCAAGCGUUAUCCGGAUUUCCUGGGUGUAAAGGGGGCGAAGACGGCGAUGCAAGGCAGGAGUGAAAGCCCGGGGCCCAACGCCGGGACUGCUCUUGGAACUGCGUGGCUGGAGUGCAGGG